GUUGCUUUCUGUGAGGUAUUAUAUUACAGCAGCAAGAGAAGUUCCUCAGCCCUAUAGGUUUCCUGAGCCUCCUAUGAUCCCUUAGUUCCCUAGUCUUUUCUCUUCCUCUGUCCCAAAAGGGUCAUUUCCACUUGGAGGAAAUGACUACACAAGGCCUGAAGUAAAGCUAUCUUCUCAUUUGGCUUCCCACUAUGGCUUCAUAACUAUGAGGAUUUUACUGCUGAAGAAUUUCAUCUCUUCAUCCUACCUGACCUGCAAAGAAACCCUAAGCACCCUUCCUGGAUCAAUGCAGACAAAGGCUUGCUCCUGAGGGCAGUGAGCAGCCGCAGAAGCACCUUUAUCUUCCACCCCAUCUUUAUUUACACCCUCUCAACAUCAAAGCCAAGAGAAUCUUCCUUCAGUCUGGUGUUCAGGGCAGAGCUGAAAAGAGAUGGAGCUCAAAUCCUGCAUGCAGCCAGGAUCCUAUGCUGAUGAAAAAUCAAAAUCUGGAUUUGUAAAGGUCCGUGUAUUUAUCCAGGAACCAGCAGACAGAGAACUUCUAAUUCCACUGGGCUCCACUUGGCCUGGUACCAACUGCUUGGCCCGCCGAUGGAUUAAAUUUGGGUUGCCCUCAGGAUUCCGUGUUCAACCAUCUGGAUCUGCUGCUGUGUCACCACGGAGGCUCCUUCUAGCCUGAUGUUCCUUCUAUGCACAUAUCCAAUCAGGCCACAGCUGCAGGAUGAAGGCUCUAAACAGAGGAACAGACCAAGCCCAGGGCACGUUUCAGCCUAUUCUGUGUGCACCAGCCACUCUGACACUUUCUGUACUGGGAUUCAUAGCAUCACUUUCUCAGCAAAAAUUAUGUUGGGGAGAUGAAACAACAAAUCUAGAUAAAUACAGCCCUUGCCCUCCCAGAGCCAGAAACCUAGGAAACAGGCAGAAACCCUGCUGUCACAAGACACAGCAAACAUUAAACAUAGACUGUCCUUAGCUAUAAAGUUGACAACACUGUGCAUAAUUUAGUCCGUGGAACUGCAAACAUGUGGUCCACCAUCUUCCUGGCAACAUGAAAAGAAAGUAAAGCCUUAAGGAUGUGUGAACAACUAGGAAAGAGGGUGAGCUGCCAGCACCACGGGCAGAGGGAGCAGCUUGGAUCACGCAGGAACAUCCUGUGAACUCAUGAGCCUUGAGGACCUCUUCUUCUACUUCAAGGGCUGCCCCUGAGCUCGGGAACCCUAUUGCCACUUGCUUUCUCCACCAGCCUCUGGACCAAGCACUGUGUAUGAAGUCCUAAUUACAUUCCACUGAAGAAUCAUUCCAACUCAGCCCCAGGGAAUCUAACUGCAAAUUCUUCUGAUAAGGUACCUUCUACAGAGUAACCCUACACCAAAGAAUUCCUAAGAAAACAGGAAAAUAUAUCAUUUCUCUGGA